AUCUCCUCUCUCUGCUCCUUCUUCCUCUUCCUUUUCUUCUUUCUCUUUCGUUUUGUUUUUAAGGCAGUUUCCCCUGGGGUCAGGGUUUCAGUCCGUCAUGGGAAACUCCGGUCCAAGAAUUCGGGAGGGCGGGCUCUGGUCGAAUAAUGUCAGCUACAAAACAAUACAAAACCUCCCCCCCCUCUCUCUCAACGCCUACCAAAAGGACAAGUGAACAGCCACCGUUCCCAGAUACUGGACAGCAACAUCCAAGGAUAUAACAUCUAUUGACAGAGCUUGCGAUUCAAUCCUGGCCUGCUCUACUGCAAUCUUAACAUCAAAUUCUCGAAUCUCCGCACCUAGUCCCUUACCUUUUCAAUUUUUUUUUGACAAUCAAUGACUUUUUCAGGGUUUGAUGUAUGAUUAAUGGCACUUGCUAAACAUCUCAGUUAACAUUUUGUUUGUCUCCACCUCAUAUGGCCACUCCAGGGAACCUGACCACCGCCACAAGGACCACACCUGGGUCAAUCCUUUCAACCAGCUCCUCAAUACAUUGAUCUCCGUCUACAGAUGCACCUACCGAGGCCAAACAAAAGCUGGUUUUCGAAACUGACUACUUACAGAGCAUGUUUUGUCUCGCAUUCUAUUUCAGUAUGCACUAAAUACUCUUGGUAACAGGACAAGUAGGAUGCUUCUUUGGUUGAGAAUAAAAAAAAAUGUUAAGUUACUGGAAAGAGACCACUUUUCUUUCUUCCCAACAAAUUAGCAGAAGUCAUGCAUGUUACAACUAGAGAACUAUCAUUUCUGUUUUUUUAGCCUCCUCUUAUUAGCUUCUGCUUCUCUUCAAUCCCGUGAAUUUAGCCCUAACAAGAAUGAUAUUCCUCAGCCAAGCAGCAUGUGGUCUGUGGUGGAGCAUGGCCACGAAGAAGGUGCGACAAAAACAUAGGCCGACAACGACAAGUCUCUGACAGCCAAGAAGGGGAGAUUGCCUUCACCCUCAAAGGAUGAGUAGUCCACAUUUCAGGUGGUUCAAUAUUCAUUAAGCUACUUCCACUGCCAGCAUUGCUUUGAAAUGAUUACAUCUGUCUUUGCGCAGCAUCACUGAAGACGCAUAACUGCCGCACUAUCCACCAGGCUCGCAUUUUGCUACUACAUAUGGAGGCUGCCAUAACUUUUUGGAUGCCUACGGACUGCACCUGCUGGAAAUGCUUGAUUGCGUCAGUGAAAUUAUGAAGCAAGCAAGACAAUCAAAUGUUCCAAUUGUCAUAAUUUCAGUGAAAUGAUCAGACAAAUUUAAAAAUAGCAGCAAUUAUCAGCUUGUUGGGAUGUGGGGUUGGAGGACUGGAGAUUCAGUAGUGAUCAAGAUUCAAAUUGUUCUUUGCCUUUACAAUUCUAAGUUUUUGAUGUGUUAGGGUCGUGUCACAUGUUACCAUGCUUAUGUUAUAAUGCUCUCAUUACAGUUGAAUAAUUGAUCUUAAGAUCGUUAAUGAGUUCUAAUUAAAAGAGCUUCUUGCUCUUGAGGAAAUGCUUAAAUAUUAAUUGUACACUGAUUGAAAUCAACUUAUUACUUCAUGUCAAAGAAGCUUGGAUUUUCUUCUUUAUAUUGAUGGAAGUUUGUUAUACAGGUAUGUAAGGCAACACUUAUUGCUCUCACAAGGGUAUGCCUUUUGUUGCUUUCCUGAAUAUUGGAUGCUAGAAUGCCAAAUGCACCACUACUUACAUAUAACUAUGUAAUAAUGUUAAAUAGGCUUGGCUUUGCGUUUGAGGAACUAAUUAAAGAAGAUUUGGGUGAGAAAUGUAAUUUUUAUUUGGAUGAUGAAGCUCAGGAUUUAGAGCAGUUGGUUAUUAGCUUUGCUCAGAUGUUAAUAGACGAAAGAAACGCAUCAGAUUCUUUCAUGGGAAAGUUUAUGUACAUGUAUGUAUUCAUGUAUAAGGAACCAAGAUCACCAGCAAUCAUCAUCUCCAAGUAGGAGGUUUCAUGAUGGGAUUCAUUUCUACUUCUACAGCUAUGUCCCAUAGAUGGCCGAACUUCUCAGCUUCUCUUACAAUCUGAAUGCCAUCAAGACGAGGAAGGAGUGCUGCUAUGAUUAUACCAAGCAAGCACACGCAAAAAGAUCCCUCCCCCGUCAUGUUGAAGAUUGCCCUGUCAGAUUACGUCCCAGUUGCAAGCAUUAGUCAGUCCAUGUAUACAUUGCUUUUUUUUGUGAGCUUAACUGAAGGGAGAAUUUAUACAGGUAAUAUCUACAUCUGUGGAAGAGAAGAUGACAUACCAGUAGCCAACAAACAUAGGAAUGACAUUGAGGAUCAUGACACAAAUGGAAGUUGCAGCAGCUAUAGAUCCCCAAAUAACUGCAUAAAAGACCCAAUUCCAUUGGAUGAUGUCCAUGGCCAAGUGCAGAUUAACCAGAAUAUCCACUUUUUGGAGCUAACAAGGUGACGCCCUGGUUGUCCUGCAAAUUUAUCUUUUGAUCAGCAUUCUAAGGGCUAAUACAUAAUAUUUUAAACGUAUUUGGGGUGGCCUGAGAGUUGUGUAACUCUUAACCCAAACACAGGCGGCGUUAAUUUUAUUUUAUUUUCCUA